rnacentral:rRNA from 1 species
GCGGCGGACGGGUGAGUAAUGCCUAGGAAUCUGCCUGGUAGUGGGGGACAACGUUUCGAAAGGAACGCUAAUACCGCAUACGUCCUACGGGAGAAAGUGGGGGAUCUUCGGACCUCACGCUAUCAGAUGAGCCUAGGUCGGAUUAGCUAGUUGGUGAGGUAAAGGCUCACCAAGGCGACGAUCCGUAACUGGUCUGAGAGGAUGAUCAGUCACACUGGAACUGAGACACGGUCCAGACUCCUACGGGAGGCAGCAGUGGGGAAUAUUGGACAAUGGGCGAAAGCCUGAUCCAGCCAUGCCGCGUGUGUGAAGAAGGUCUUCGGAUUGUAAAGCACUUUAAGUUGGGAGGAAGGGCAGUAAGUUAAUACCUUGCUGUUUUGACGUUACCAACAGAAUAAGCACCGGCUAACUUCGUGCCAGCAGCCGCGGUAAUACGAAGGGUGCAAGCGUUAAUCGGAAUUACUGGGCGUAAAGCGCGCGUAGGUGGUUCGUUAAGUUGGAUGUGAAAGCCCCGGGCUCAACCUGGGAACUGCAUCCAAAACUGGCGAGCUAGAGUAUGGCAGAGGGUGGUGGAAUUUCCUGUGUAGCGGUGAAAUGCGUAGAUAUAGGAAGGAACACCAGUGGCGAAGGCGACCACCUGGGCUAAUACUGA